rnacentral:rRNA from 1 species
AUUGAACGCUGGCGGCAGGCCUAACACAUGCAAGUCGAGCGAGCGGCGGAUGGGUGAGUAAUGUCUGGGAAACUGCCUGAUGGAGGGGGAUAACUCCUGGAAACGGUAGCUAAUACCGCAUACCAUCAGAUGUUCCCAGAUGGGAUUAGCUAGUAGGUGGGGUAACGGCUAACCUAGGCGACGCUCCCUAGCUGGUCUAAGAGGAUGACCAGCCACACUGGAACUGGGCACCGGUCCAGACUCCUACGUGAGGCAGCAGUAGGAAGUAUUGCACAAUAGGCGCAAGCCUGAGGCAGCCGUGCCGCGUGUGUGAAGAAGGCCUUCGGGUUGUAAAGCACUUUCAGCGGGGAGGCGUUACCCGCAGAAGAAGCACCGGCUAACUCCAUGCCAGCAGCCGCGGUAAUUC